AAAAUUAAUGUGAUGAUUUCAUAGUUCAACUGAAGCGUUUUGAUGUACAUAUGAGUAAAUGUCUUUCGCUCCUAUCUGAUCUUGUUUAA